rnacentral:rRNA from 1 species
GAUGAACGCUGGCGGCGUGCCUAACACAUGCAAGUCGAACGAUGAAACCGCCCCCGGGCGGACAUGAAGUGGCGAACGGGUGAGUAACACGUGACCGACCUGCCCCCCGCCCAGGGACAGCCCCCCGAAAGGGGGAUUAAUACCUGGUACUCCGGGAGCGGCGCAUGCCGCGUCCGGGAAAGCUCCGGCGGCGGGGGAUGGGGUCGCGGCCCAUCAGGUAGGCGGCGGGGCAGAGGCCCACCGUGCCGACGACGGGUAGCCGGGUUGAGAGACCGACCGGCCACAUUGGGACUGAGAUACGGCCCAGACUCCUACGGGAGGCAGCAGUGGGGAAUUUUGCGCAAUGGGGGCAACCCUGACGCAGCAACGCCGCGUGCGGGACGAAGGCGUCCGCGUCGUAAACCGCUUUCAGCGGGGAACACCAAUCGAGGGUACCCGCAGAAGAAGCCCCGGCUAAAUACGUGCCAGCAGCCGCCGUAACAC